GGGAUUGCCUCAGUAACGGCGAGUGAAGCGGCAAUAGCUCAAAUUUGAAAGCUGGCGUCUUCGACGUCCGCGUUGUAAUUUGUAGAGGAUGUUUCGGCGAGGGCUCCUGCCUAAGUUCCCUGGAAUGGGACGUCACAGAGGGUGAGAAUCCCGUAUGUGGCGGGCGGCCUUAGCCAUGUGAAACUCCUUCGACGAGUCGAGUUGUUUGGGAAUGCAGCUCUAAAUGGGAGGUAAAUUUCUUCUAAAGCUAAAUACCGGCCAGAGACCGAUAGCGCACAAGUAGAGUGAUCGAAAGAUGAAAAGCACUUUGGAAAGAGAGUUAAAAAGUACGUGAAAUUGUUGAAAGGGAAGCGCUUGCAACCAGACUCGUUCGCAGUUGCUCAGCCCGCCUCUUGGUGGGUGUACUCUUCUGCGGUCGGGCCAGCAUCAGUUCGGGCGGUCGGAUAAAGGUGUCGGGAAUGUAGCACCCUUCGGGGUGUGUUAUAGCCCGGCGCGGAAUGCGGCCAGCCUGGACUGAGGAUCUCGCUUCGGCAAGGAUGCUGGCGUAAUGGUUGUAAGCGGCCCGUCUUGAAACACGGACCAAGGAGUCUAACAUCUAUGCGAGUGUUUGGGUGUCAAACCCAUGCGCGUAAUGAAAGUGAACGGAGGUGGGAACCCGCAAGGGUGCACCAUCGACCGAUCCUGAUGUCUUCGGAUGGAUUUGAGUAAGAGCAUAGCUGUUGGGACCCGAAAGAUGGUGAACUAUGCCUGAAUAGGGUGAAGCCAGAGGAAACUCUGGUGGAGGCUCGCAGCGGUUCUGACGUGCAAAUCGAUCGUCAAAUUUGGGUAUAGGGGCGAAAG
rnacentral:rRNA from 1 species